rnacentral:rRNA from 1 species
GAUGAACGCUGGCGGCGUGCUUAACACAUGCAAGUCGAACGAAGCAUUUCGGUCUUAAUCUUCGGAAGCGGACUGAUCUGACUGAGUGGCGGACGGGUGAGUAACGCGUGGGUAACCUGCCCUGUACAGGGGGAUAACAGUUAGAAAUGACUGCUAACACCGCAUAAGCGCACAGGAAGGCAUCUUUCGGUGUGAAAAUAUUUAUAGGUACAGGAUGGGCCCGCGUCUGAUUAGCCAGUUGGCAGGGUAACGGCCUACCAAAGCAACGAUCAGUAGCCGGCGUGAGAGAGUGAACGGCCACAUUGGGACUGAGACACGGCCCAAGCUCCUACGGGAGGCAGCAGUGGGGAAUAUUGCACAAUGGGGGAAACCCUGAUGCAGCGACGCCGCGUGAGUGAAGAAGUAUUUCGGUAUGUAAAGCUCUAUCAGCAGGGAAGAAAAUGACGGUACCUGACUAAGAAGCCCCGGCUAACUACGUGCCAGCCGCCGCGGUAA